CGACAGUUAUUUGCUUGACAAUCACCGGCUGACGGAAUUUUGUGACCGCCGCAGCCCUAGUUAAGAGUGGUUUGCUUUUGACGGUGUGUCAUUUGAUCUCGUGGAGCCUGGUGGAGAUGCAACCAUACUACAAGGCAGGACAUUUCUCUGCAUCCAGGUUGAGGCUUGCUACCAGCAGGAACAUGGAGCACUCUGUGUCAGUAAUGUCAGUGCUACAGACACAGAACGGGCCAAGGACCUCGACAGCCUUCUGACCAACUACCUGCAAUCUCUCCAGAGCAGAGAAGUGAGUCUGUUGGGUUGUGAAACUCUAGAGCAGCACAUCAAAGAAACCUGCCACCCUGUUGUCAGCUAUCUGCAGACAGUUCCCUGAGGAAGGAUGCAACUAUCAAGGCUUUCAAAGGCCACAUUUUGGGGAUGACCAAAUGCAAUGACGUUUUGUAUAAACAACUCUUUUUUAAUUUUUUUUAUUACAAAAAACUUUUUCAUAGCAUAUUUGUCACGUCGGCCUUCACACUAACGU